CACGGAGUUAGCCGAUCCUUAUUCCUACGGUACCGUCAAUCUGGCUCACGAGCCAGGGUUUCUUCCCGUAUAAAAGCAGUUUACAAUCCAUAGGACCGUCAUCCUGCACGCGGCAUGGCUGGAUCAGGCUUGCGCCCAUUGUCCAAUAUUCCUCACUGCUGCCUCCCGUAGGAGUCUGGUCCGUGUCUCAGUACCAGUGUGGGGGAUCUCCCUCUCAGGACCCCUACCCAUCGUUGCCUUGGUAUGCCGUUACCAUACCAACUAGCUAAUGGGACGCAUGCUCAUCUUUUACCGAUAAAUCUUUAAUUAUUAAAUGAUGCCACUCAAUAAUACUAUAAGGUAUUAAUCCAAAUUUCUCUGGGCUAUCCCUUUGUAAAAGGUAGAUUGCAUACGCGUUACGCACCCGUGCGCCGGUCUCUGGUUCCGAAGAACCAUACCCCUCGACUUGCAUGUGUUAAGCCUGCCGCUAGCGUUCAUCCUGAGCCAGGAUCAAACUC
rnacentral:rRNA from 1 species